AGUGAACGCUGGCGGUAGGCCUAACACAUGCAAGUCGAGCGGCAGCACAGUAAGAGCUUGCUCUUACGGGUGGCGAGUGGCGGACGGGUGAGGAAUACAUCGGAAUCUACUUUUUCGUGGGGGAUAACGUAGGGAAACUUACGCUAAUACCGCAUACGACCUACGGGUGAAAGCAGGGGAUCUUCGGACCUUGCGCGAUUGAAUGAGCCGAUUUCGGAUUAGCUAGUUGGCGGGGUAAAGGCCCACCAAGGCGACGAUCCGUAGCUGGUCUGAGAGGAUGAUCAGCCACACUGGAACUGAGACACGGUCCAGACUCCUACGGGAGGCAGCAGUGGGGAAUAUUGGACAAUGGGCGCAAGCCUGAUCCAGCCAUACCGCGUGGGUGAAGAAGGCCUUCGGGUUGUAAAGCCCUUUUGUUGGGAAAGAAAAGCAGCAGGUUAAUACCCCGCUGUUCUGACGGUACCCAAAGAAUAAGCACCGGCUAACUUCGUG
rnacentral:rRNA from 1 species